rnacentral:rRNA from 1 species
GACGAACGCUGGCGGCGUGCUUAACACAUGCAAGUCGAACGGAAAGGCCCUGCUUUUGUGGGGUGCUCGAGUGGCGAACGGGUGAGUAACACGUGAGUAACCUGCCCUUGACUUUGGGAUAACUUCAGGAAACUGGGGCUAAUACCGGAUAGGAGCUCCUGCUGCAUGGUGGGGGUUGGAAAGUUUCGGCGGUUGGGGAUGGACUCGCGGCUUAUCAGCUUGUUGGUGGGGUAGUGGCUUACCAAGGCUUUGACGGGUAGCCGGCCUGGGAGGGUGACCGGCCACAUUGGGACUGCGAUACGGCCCAGACUCCUACGGGAGGCAGCAGUGGGGAAUAUUGCCCAAUGGGCGGAAGCCUGAUGCAGCAACGCCGCGUGCGGGAUGACGGCCUUCGGGUUGUAAACCGCUUUCGCCUGUGACGAAGCGUGAGUGACGGUAAUGGGUAAAGAAGCACCGGCUAACUACGUG